UAGAGAGUCGAUUCUUAGAGCCGAAUCUUUCAAAACCGACUCAUUACUGUCUCGGUGGUUUAGCUGCUGAGUUUGUUGAAGGAGAGAGGCGACUGAGGAGCGAAAUACCGAUGCCAAAAUGAACCGGAUUCGGAUCCACGUGGUGCCGUCCAGCCGAGGCAGGGUCACCCAGAGAAGCUGCUCUCGAUCCAGUCUCGAUCCGACCCAGCUAUCAAAUAUACUACUUUUAUUUGAACUAAACUGCUGAUAACGCACAGUUUAAUCUGAUAUAUUAACCACAGCUAUGAACAAAGGCUGUCUUUGCUGCUCCAUGCUGUUUACACACAUGGUCUGUGCUGUGUUCACUGCACAUCUGUGUUAAAGCAGUUUAGGUUUAUACAUAUGUGAAACCAAACCAAACAAAGGGAGAAAAUGCUACAAGUAAAGGAACAUCAACUCAUCCGGACUAUAGAAACCAACUACAGGUGUGAAAACGCCUUAUGUGUUCAACAAGAACGGCAAGCGUUGUCCCAGUGCAGCACCGAAACCCCAGAAAAGAAGGACGGGCCCACUCAGUACGACAGAGCCAGAGAUGCAUUUCCUGUGUGGAAGGGACGCGAUGCUCAAACCAGUGGCUGCCAAUGACACGACAUUGUGUUUCUCAUAUUUACCAAGACAGCAGCCAGGAGUUUUUCAAGAUGGGCUGAAGGAGAUCCCCUGUGACCGGUGCCGCCGAGCUGCAGCCCACCGAGAGCCUACCACUGGAGUUCAGAGAUACUGUGUCGGAGAUAGCCGAGGCAGCAGGAGAGGAGGACGCCACACACAGUUCUUCAGUGGACGUCAACACAAUAACCACAGAAGCUACGUCAUCAUGAGCACCUUCAGGCCUGAUUUUCUCAGCUGUCAGUAGACUUCACAGAGCUCGCCAUGCUGAAGUGUUUCAGAAUCCAAGCUGUGACCAAAAAACAUAUUCACAACACCAACAUCUGUAGAGCAGAGACUGUACCUGAUGAUCGAAAACUUGCUUGAGGGUGUCAAUGAUGGCCUUCUGGACAGCAGUCAGGUCGGCAGUCUUACCCACGAUCGCGGUUUUGAGUAAUGAAUUGAUUUGAGUAAUGAGUUUUUAAAAGCCUUAGGAAUCUUUUGCAGGUGUUUAUUCGUUAAUUCGUUGAUUCAGAUGAUUAGGUUAAUAGCUCGUUUAGAGAACCUUUUCAUGAUAUGCUAAUUUUGUGAGAUAGGAAUUUUGAGUUUUCAUGAGCUGUAGGCCAAAAUCAUCCGUAUUAAAACAAUAAAAGAUCUGAAAUAUUUCAGUUGGUGUGCACUGAAGUUUAAUUUUUAUAAUUUCAUUAUGGAAAAUAAUUAAUUUUAUCACAAUAUGCUAUUUUUUUGAGAAGGACCUGUAUUAAUAAAACAAAUGCUAACUGCUAGAGGACACAUGCUAAUAUGGUGAUACUACAACAGUCUUUGGAAAUAAAAUGUGUUGCUGUUGUCCUGAA